ensembl:miRNA MIR377 microRNA 377
UGAGCAGGGGUUGCUCUUGGUGAAUUCGCUUUAUUCUUGUUGAAUCACACAAAGGUAACUUUGGUUUG